AACAACAAUAUAUUACAAGUUGACAACAAUAACAAACCGAGCCUGAGUUUGAAGUCCACACAUGCAUACAUAUGCAACAAGAAUUCACAAACGAAAAAACCAUGAGUUUAAAGUUCAGACAUGCAUACAUAUCCAACGAAGGUUCAAAACAACAUGCGUCCGUAUGCAACAAGAAUUCACAAACGACAGCAUGAGUUCCAAGUUCACACCAAGCAUGAACCUAAAAGAUGCAAUGAGCUUCCACCGCAGCAUGUAUGCCCACCGUCGACGGCAUCUGCAAUGUAAACCUACAAAUCCAUUACCACACGCAUGAGUUUCCAAAGUUAAGUUGCAAAAAGGCACAAGAGUCAACAAGCAUCAACAUAUAAGAACUAACACACAUACUAGAAGAUUCACAACAAGUUCUAUCUUGAAGCCCUCAAUCUAGCAGACAAAAAUAUACAAUGCAUAGAUUUCACAUGUUUCCCAGAGCUUGAGGUCAUUUAAUAUAGAACU
rnacentral:lncRNA from 1 species